rnacentral:rRNA from 1 species
AAGCGGCGCAAGGCCCGGAUAGUACUGGGGUGGGGGACCGCCCGGGAAGUCCUUAGGGUGCUGCUGGCU